rnacentral:lncRNA from 1 species
AAACGGAGUCGGAGAGAUGUGCGGAGACCAACAGCUCGCUCGCUGAUGCUUUCAGAUCUCCGCUCAAAGCGAUGAGUUGAAGGGCUCCCUAACGAUCGACAAGCUAGACCAACGGGAGGAGGAAGAACGGGGUUCACCAGCCGAACAGCUUGUUCCCAUCUCAAUAGCGGAGAAUCCCGACCGAAAGAUAUGGGUCGGGUCUCAACUACCC